rnacentral:tRNA from 1 species
AGUAGAAUGACUGAGGUUUAAGGUGAAGGAUUGUAAAUCCUUUUACGAGUUUUACUCUUCUACUA